rnacentral:lncRNA from 1 species
AGAAGAGGCCCCUUUGUCUCUCCCUCCUGGCGUUAGGCAUUAGCUAUGUCGGCUCACCCUCUCCCACUGCCGGCUCCAGUGCCCGCGGCACUGGCUCACUGGGUACAGCCUGCAUUAGCUCAUGGUCUGUGGCAGAGCCACAGUUGCAGCUCAUCUGAUCGAUUUGCUUCUGAGCACUAGAAAGCUCAACUAGCUCAGCAGCUCUUUAUGACCUCUGGCACAGACAGCAAAUUCCUUCCAGCUCAGCUCGUGGAGCUGGGCUCUGUACUGCCUUAAAACCAGCCCCGGCUCCUCAAUUACCUUCUGCCCUUAUUCAUGCCCUGCCAAUUCCUUUUUGCUGGAAUCUGAAUGAAGCCACUGCAUAUGCCAAGGCUGAGAAUCGCUUGAGAGGACUUAUGGGCCUUUUCCUUGAAGGAAAAGAUGGCACUUGGAACUUGGCCGGUGGAAGCAUCAUUCAGAUAUGAUUCAUUACAGGUAAGAGAAAGAAGACAGGAAUCUGCAGAAGAAAUCUUCCCAUAAGUCUGAUAUUUCUGGAAAAGGGGACAGAGUUGUCUGCUCUUUGUGACUUAGACUGGGCCAGUGCCGAAAUCACAAGUCCACAGAGUAUGCCUGAAGGAAGAUGGUUCUCAAUGCACCCACUGGGAAAAUGCACUCAUCCUCAAAUGACUGAGGCCGUUGUUUCCUUGCCUUUUAAGAUCUCAUCCCAGGAGGGAUUCUUCUCACUUUCUUUCAGUCCUGAACUCAGAGGAUUGUGCUGCUUAGGGAAGCCACCUCAUUAGGACAACUCAUUUUCCCUUCUCUCUAGUAGAGGUUACUGCCACAAGCUGAACACAGUGAAAAAUAAACUGUGAACUUGAAGAGGGAGGAGGGAAGGUGGAGGUGUUUAUCUCAAGCUUAAGAGAAGUUCUGCAAAAGGCGUUUUUUAGUUUGCCCAGUUUCAUUUCUUUAAUCCCUGGUUUCUCUGUGGUUUUGCUGUAUGCUUGCCCAGACACGUCACAUGCACCAGCCUUAUAACUAGAAAAGUCUCUGGCCUCACAAGAAGAGGGAGAUCUCCCUGAAAAUAAUCUCCGAAGGGUUGGUCUGGAGCAGGAAAUGAGAGUGAAAGGCACAUCUGUAGGAGGGGUUCCGCUUGCUCACACUCGGAAUGUGCUCGCCCUCUCCUCCUCUCUUUGAUGACAGGAAGUGCACAUACUCCAAGCUCCAUUUCCUCAAUGUCCCAGGUGAAAUUAUCCCCGGAGAGAGGGAUAACCCUAACUAUUAAAAAGAUGUAUGCUUGAUUCAAUGUUCCAAAUAAUAUUCAGCACAAACGAAUCUCUGGACACCUAAGCUGUAAUAGACCAUGAGAUUUGGAAGAGGAUGAGGAAGAGUACUAUCCAAGGAACCGGCUAUCAUCACAAAUUCUGCAGACUCAGACACCUCUCGACAGCAUGUCUCCAACAACCCCGCCCCCCAUUCAGAGCCACUCUUCCGGAAAUCAACUCACAGUUCACCUCCUGUCUAAAUUCUGGUGUAGAAAUGGAAACCUCUUGUAAGAUGUCAUAGAUAUUUUGGCUGAAUCAUCAGCAGAAGUUCUUGUCCAUCCCUUAGACUUAGGAUGGCCUGGUUAGUAUGGUUUGAUGGGACAAAGCUUGAAUACCAUGACCAGAAGCAUUUCUGUGUUCUCCUGUCUAAGGGUAUUUGUUAUGUCUCAGGAAAGCUGGAUGACUAUCUCAUUCUCUGAUGAUGGAGAAGAAUACUCACAACCUGCUCCCCACCUCCCACUGUGAAAUGCCAAUAUGGUGGAAACAGAAGGGAGAAGAAAGAACAGCGGAGACACUGAUCAUUCGAAACCAAAGAAGCAGCUCAUGCAUAAUGGAGAGCUAUCUGCAUGCAAAUUGCUAGGAGUACUUCCUACUUUUCUGGGAUAUUGUAUUUAGCCCUCUGUACUCUAUUCAGAAGAGUUCUGUUCCCCAGGCCAAGAAGGUAAAAUGUGGAUUGUACUUGAAUAGUCUUGUGAAUGAAAAAUGGCUAAAUUCUUUUUAUUAAGUGGAAUAAUCAAACUGGCAGAGUAAUUUCCCUAAAUUUAAAUUCCCAUUACAGAGAAAAGACACACUCUUGCCCACUUAUGGCCUCUGUUCUUUAUCACAUGCUUUCUCCCUAGCUGCAGAAGCCUAGAAGAACCUUGUUCAAUGGAUUGUCACAGAGAGAGCCGAAGGCAUGGCCACAGAAAGUAGGGCACAGGGAGAAGCUAACUCCCUAAUUUCUUUUUCUUUUUUCAGUUGAGAUAUACAUGAUGCUUUCUUGAUCUUUUGCUCUGUUUCCACCAGUUGUAUUAUAUAUGCAUAUAAAAUGUCCAUUUAAAAUACCAUACAGUUUGUGCCAGACUAGUCCAUUUUCACUAUCUUCUGAUCUCUCAUAGACAGAAUAUUAAAAUCCAAGAAGGAUUUAGCUCAGUGCACAUGUUGCCACUGGUAACCCAUGGUAAUAAGGUAACCCUAUAUAUUCACA